AUCUCUAUGGGUCGAUGCCAUCAUUGGGGUCACCUCUAUGGGUUGAUGUCCCCAAGGGACGUCCCCAAGGGUUGGUGGCCUCUAUGGAGGUGUCCCCAAGGGUUGGUGGCAUCAUUGGGGUCACCUCUAUGGGUUGAUGUCUCCAAGGGUUGAUGGCAUCAUUGGGGUCUCCUCCAUGGGUUGAUGUCCCCAAGGGUUGGUGGCAUCAUUGGGGUCACCUCCAUGGGUCAAUGCCAUCAUUGGGGUCACCUCCAUGGGUUGGGGGUCACCUCCAUAGGUUGAUGUCCCCAAGGGAUGUCCCAACGUGUUGGUGGCAUCAUUGGGGUCAUCUCUAUGGGUUGAUGUCCCCAAGGGAUGUCCCAAUGUGUUGGUGGCAUCAUUGGGGUCACCUCUAUGGGUUGAUGUCCCCAAGGGAUGUCCCAAUGUGUUGGUGGCAUCAUUGGGGUCAUCUCUAUGGGUCGAUGCCAUCAUUGGGGUCACCUCCAUGGGUUGAUGUCCCCAAGGGUUGAUGGCAUCAUUGGGGUCACCUCCAUGGGUUGAUGUCCCCAAGGGAUGUCCCCAAGGGUUGGUGGCAUCAUUGGGGUCACCUCCAUGGGUCGAUGGCCAUCAUUGGGGUCACCUCUAUGGGUUGGAUGUCCCCAAGGGAUGUCCCCCAUGGGGAUGGCAUCAUUGGGGUCAUCCUCCUAUGGGUCGAUGCCAUCAUUGGGGUCACCUCCAUGGGUUUUCAUGCCAUCAUUGGGUCACUCUAUGGGUUCGAUUGCCCAUCAUUGGGGUCACCUCCAUGGGUCGGUGCCAUCAUUGGGGUCACCUCUAUGGGUUGAUGUCCCCAAGGGUUGGUGGCAUCAUUGGGGUCACCCCAUGGGUCAUCCCCAAUUGGGUUCCCCUAUGGGUUGGGGUGGGGUCAUUACAUUGGGUCACCUCCAUGGGUCGAUGCCAUCAUUGGGGUCACCUCCAUGGGGUUGAAAUGUCCCCCAAGGGUUUGAAUGGCAUCAUAUGGGGGUCACCUCCAUGGGUUGAUGUCCCAAGGGAUGUCCCCCCAUGGGUUUGGAUGGCAUCCAUUGGGGUCAUCCUCCAUGGGUUGGUGGCAUCAUUGGGGUCAUCUCUAUGGGUCGAUGCCAUCAUUGGGGUCACCUCCAUGGGUCGAUGCCAUCAUUGGGGUCAUCUCUAUGGGUCAAUGCCAUCAUUGGGGUCACCUCCAUGGGUCAAUGCCAUCAUUGGGGUCACCUCCAAGCCCUGAUGGGCCAUCCAUUGGGGCCAUCAUCGGGCCAUCUCCCAAUCCUUGAUGCCCCCAUUGGGGCCACCUCCCCCCCAAACCUCAUUGCCCCCCUCCCACCCUGAACCCCCCAUAACCCCAACAUCCCCCCUUUUUCCAGGGGUGCUCUACAACCAAUUCCUAUCCCAGGUGGAUUUCGAGGUGCUUCGGGACCACGCCAGGGCUUUGGGGGUGUUGGUGUUCGAGAACCCCACCAGGCGCCUCAUGGUGGUCACCCCGGGGGGGCACCCCGAUGUCAAACGCUUCUGGAACGACAGAAAGCACAGCUCUUAGGGACCCCCCCCCCCAACCCCAUAUCCCAAACCCCCUCCCAAAACACCCCCCCCCCCCCUUUUUUUAUCUGUAUAUGAAAUGUGGGGUUUUUUAAGCCGAAUAAUAGAAUAAAAGAGGAGAAUUUGGGGGGGGGCUCCGUCCUCGUUUUUCAACCGUAGAACCCCAUUUCCCCCCCCCCCCCCAAAAUUUACCCCAAAGAACCCAAUUUUCACCCAAAAGAACCCCAUUUCCCCACAAAUAACCCCAUUUUCACCCAAAAGAACUCCAUUUCCCCCCAAUAACCCAUUUCCCCCAAAAUAACCCAUUUCCCCCCAAAUAACCCAAUUUCCCCCCAAAAUAACCCCAUUUCCCCCCAAAUAACUCCAUUAUUCCCCCCAAAUAACCCAAUUUGCCCCCCAAAUAACCCAAUUUCCCCCCAAAAUAACCCCAUUUCCCCCAAAUAACC
rnacentral:lncRNA from 7 species